rnacentral:rRNA from 1 species
UACGAAGGGGGCUAGCGUUUUUCGGAAUUACUGGGCGUAAAGCGCACGUAGGUGGCGACGUAAGUCGGGUGUGAAAGCCCCGGGCUCAACCUGGGAAUUGCAUUCGAGACUGCAUUGCUGGAGUACGGAAGAGGAGGGCGGAAUUCCCGGUGUAGCGGUGAAAUGCGUAGAUAUCGGGAGGAACAUCAGUGGCGAAGGCGGCCCUCUGGUCCAGUACUGACACUCAAGUGCGAAAGCAUGGGGAGCAAACAGG